GGGCGUGUGGCCUAGCCCGGAUAUGGCGGCAGCCUCCUAAGCUGUUAAUCGGGGGUUCAAAUCCCUUCGCGCCCG
rnacentral:tRNA from 1 species